UUGCUACUCCCUCCGUUCGGAAUUACUUGUCUCGGAAAUGGAUGUAUCUAGAACUAAAAUACAUCUAGAUACAUCCAUUUUCGCGACAAGUAAUUCCGAACGGAGGGAGUAGUUU
rnacentral:pre_miRNA from 1 species